AUGGCUGAGGCGAACUCGUACGAGGAGCAGCGCAGGAGGCAGGUGGAGGAGAACAAGCGGAAGCUGGAGGAGCUGCGCCUGCACCACCUCUCCGCCGCCGUCCGCGAGGCCGCCGUCAAGCCCAAGCUGAAGAGGAAGGCCCCGAAGCCGUGGGACGCCGCCGAUGACGCCCCGCCCCGGCGUUCCGGCCGUAUCGCCACCCUCCCCGAGCAGCCCGACUAUCGCGACAAUCUGGGCACCGGGAAACCACGGCAGCAGAAGGAAGUAAAGCCUGAUCAUGCGUACGCCAUCGCCAAGGCCGAAGAGCUACAGGAUGAGCUAGGCUCCGACUACCCGACCUUUGUCAAACCCAUGCCACAGUCUCUUACCUCGCUGCAUAUCCCGGCACAGUUCAGCAUGGAGCAUCUCCCGGACAAUGGCAUGAGAAUGGUUUUGGUGGAUGAGGAGGAGGAGGAGUUUAAGGUGAGCUAUCGUCCACACAGUAGCAGUCUUGUCGCCGGGUGGAGCGAGUUUGCCAUCGACAAUGAGCUAGUUGAAGGUGAUUGCUUGGUGUUCCAGCUGAUCAAGAGGGCAUUGUUCAAGGUCUACAUAUUCAGGGCAAGUUCGUACUAUGAAAAUGAGCAUUAA
rnacentral:rRNA from 1 species